rnacentral:tRNA from 1 species
GCCUCUUUAGCUCAGUUGGUUAGAGCAGCGGUUUCGUAAACCGCAGGUCGGGGGUUCAAGUCCCCUGAGAGGCU